rnacentral:rRNA from 1 species
AUGUCUGGAAUGUCAUCUGAUGAUGCAAGUGCUGAAGUGAGGCCUGAAGGAGAAGUUUCUGGUGAAAAGGUAGAAGAAACUCAAGAUCAGAAUGAAGGCAGUGGCAUGCCCUCGCCACAGGAGGAGGAGGCAGCAAUCAAGAAAAAAUAUGGAGGAAAAAUGCCCAAAAAGUCAUCACUUAUAUCAAAGGACCAUGAGCGGGCAUUCUUUGAUUCUGCUGAUUGGGCUUUAGGAAAGCAAGGUGGAAGUCCCAACAAGCCUAAAGGACCCCUUGAAGCCCUUCGACCAAAACUACAGCCUACUCAACAAAAUGCUCGUGCCCGCCGAUCUGCGCAUCCUAAGCAUCUAAGUCCUUGUAUUUUUGUGUUCAAUGUAGUCCCAGUCUCACACAUCAUUAUCUUGCCUGCCGAGGAGCUGACCCAGAAUGAUGAUCCAACUUAA